UCUUGAUUCUUAAAGGGCGGGACAAAUGGUAGCGAGCGUCAUUGUCGAGAAGGGAGAGGAUGAUACAGCAUCUAACGAGGGAAAAAAUGGAGAGGAAUGCAAUAAUAAUGUUCAUGUUUUGCUCUUGGGAUAAAUACAGCUUUUGUGUGUACUCGAACCGAGGGUGGUAUUUACUUUCUCAAAUGCCAUACAAGCGUUUCUGUGGACCUUCUUAAGGAAUGGCUUCUUGCUUGCUACCUUCCCUUAGAGGCCUGUUUUAUGGAGAUCUCUUGAAAUUGUGGACCCAUACACCUCCACUCCAGUUUCAGCCAAACAGCAUUGUAGACUGCUGAGAGCAAUGGUUGGAUGCUCUGAUGUUUAGUUUUGGGGAACAGCCUGUUCUAGCAACAGUCUGGGUGCUGUGACGAACCUUCCACUUUCUGAUGAAGAAUCCAACAGUGCUCAAUGGGACAUUCAAACUCUUCAAUAUUUUUAUGUAGCCAUUUCCUACUUUGUUUCUCAAAUCAGCAGAAUGCACCUUUGUCUUCACCUUUGCAGUGAUUGUCCAACGAAAAACUAUGGCCUUUAUGAAGGAUGCUUUUUUUAUAUCCAGAUAGAUAUAAAGGACUCACAAGUAGUACCUGCUUAUGUUUAAUUAUAGUCAAAUGACUGUUGUUUGUAGGUAUAAAUUAAAUACUUGAACAGUUGCACUUCUGUAUAGUACAGCUAAUGUGUGUUUUUUGUUUGUUUGAAAAAUGACAACAAAAAGCUGUAUCUCUGUGUUCUUUGUAAUACUUGUACCCUGCUGCAUACAUUCACAAAGUAAACUAUAAGUGAUAUCUAUCUAUUAUGAUUUUUUUCUACAUACCUAAACAAUAGAUAUUUAAGUGGCAUUAAGUUGCUCUUAGUUCUUUAAUAAAGAUUCUCAAGUACAA